UGACAGAGUAAGACCACAUCUCAAAAUAUAUAUGUGUGUGUGUGUGUGUGUAUCCGUGUGUGUAUAUAUAUACACACACACACACACUCUAUGAUGCUGUG
rnacentral:miRNA from 1 species